AUGGGGGUGCAGCAAUCCAAGGAGGAGCUGCUGUACCAGCAGGUGAACUACGGCAACAUCGAGGGGAUUCGGAACCUCCGGGCGCAGGGCGCGGGCGUUGAGUGGAUUGACAAGGAAGGGAAGACGCCCCUGAUGGUCGCCAGCAUGCGCCCUGAUCUGCUGAAUGUGGCUAAAGCUUUGAUUGAAUUGGGUGCAAAUGUGAAUGCGUAUCGGCCUGGAUCACACGCUGGGACUGCAUUGCACCAUGCUGCCAAAAAAGGACUUGAUCCGACUGUCCAUUUACUUCUCUCACAUGGAGCUAACCCAUUCAUAACAAAUGAUGACUGCAAUACCGCACUUGACCUGGCUAGAGAAAAGGGUCAUGUGAACGUUGUAAGGGCCAUAGAGGGACGGAUUUCUCUUUUUUCUGGAUGGAUGAGGGAGAAUUAUGGUCCUGGUUUCUUGGAAGCGUUUGCUCCUCAGUUCAUGACUAGGAAGAUUUGGGCAGUGAUUUUACCGCGUGAAGCACGGAACCCGACAAGACCUGUCAAGCUUGAGUUAGCUAUAUAUCCUGAAUUGCAGGCUGCUAAACCUCGUGUUGUUGUCAAACUUUGGAAAUCUCAACUUGAGGAACCAAAGUAUAAUCUGGCUGAUCCUUCCAUGACAAUUUUUGACAAAGUUACAAAAUCUAGAUACAAGCUUUUACCGGCUUAUGAAGGUGACAAGCAGCAGCUUCGAUCAUUUUAUAGUGCAUGUUGUGGCAUGGCACAGGUUGCCAGCAUGGUUCCUGCACGACCAGUGAAUGCCCCCAGUCCAAAUCCAAUUCCAAAUCCGUCUUUGGCACCUUCAGCGGAGUCGACUCCCAGUAAGGAGGAUCUUGAGUUAGCGAUGGCUAUCAAUGCCUCCAUCCAAUCAGCUAUAGCAGAGGGGGUGCCCAAUGUGCAGCCAAUGACAUCAACGAACAGCUCUCUCAACGGAUGGGGCUCACCAGAUUCUCCAGCGCCUUCAAAAACGAGUGGCCAAGCACAGGUUGAUGCUCCAAGCAGCAGCAAAUACAACGGAUGGGAUGUACCUGGAACAAGCUCUAACCAAAGUUCAUCGAAACCUAACAAAAGUCAAAACAACAACCCUUCGAUUGUGAUUACACCUGAGGCACUUCCGGUUCCAACACCAACUGCACUUCCGGUUCCAACACCAACUGUACUUCCAACUCUUCCAACACCAACUGCGCCACCACUUGCUGAAGGAACCUUCUACGAUGGCCCUAUUGAGUAUCCGUCCAUAGAUUUCACACCAGUUGAUGUAACCAUGCCACCCACGGAAGGUGGUGGUACGGCGCUAAACUCUGCAAAACCUGUAGAAAAUGGAGCCGAUGCAAGCAGCAGUGGUAACACCCCCUCUGGUACUUGUGUGAUUUGCUUGGAUGCUCCUGUGGAAGGAGCCUGCAUUCCAUGUGGUCACAUGGCUGGUUGCAUGUCCUGCUUGAAGGAUAUCGAGUCGAAGAAAUGGGGGUGCCCCAUUUGUCGUGCCAAGAUCAACCAGAUUAUCCGCCUGUAUGCGGUUUGA
rnacentral:rRNA from 1 species